UUGUUGCAGUUAAAAAGCUCGUAGUUGGACUUUAGGCAAGGCGGCCUGGUCACCCUCUGGGUGUACUGGGAUCGCUGCGCCUCACCUUCGGGGAGCUAGUCGUGCUUCGGUGCGCUAGGGAACCGAGCCUUACCUUGAGGAAAUUAGAGUGUUUAAAGCAGGCUUAUGCUUGAAUACGUUAGCAUGGAAUAACAUGAUAGGACUUUGGUUCUAUUUUGUUGGUUUGAGGACCAAAGUAAUGGUUAAUAGGGACAGUUGGGGGCAUUAGUAUUCAAUAGUCAGAGGUGAAAUUCUUGGAUUUAUUGAAGACUAACUAAUGCGAAAGCAUUUGCCAAGGAUGUUUUCAUUAAUCAAGAACGAAAGUUAGGGGAUCGAAGACGAUUAGAUACCGUCGUAGUCUUAACCAUAAACUAUGCCGACUAGGGAUCGGUGGAAGUCGAUUUUGACUCCAUCGGCACCUUACGAGAAAUCAAAGUUUUUGGGUUCUGGGGGGAGUAUGGUCGCAAGGCUGAAACUUAAAGGAAUUGACGGAAGGGCACCACCAGGAGUGGAGCCUGCGGCUUAAUUUGACUCAACACGGGAAAACUCACCAGGUCCGGACAUGGGAAGGAUUGACAGAUUGAGAGCUC
rnacentral:rRNA from 1 species